rnacentral:rRNA from 1 species
UACAGAGGUCCCAAGCGUUGUUCGGAUUCAUUGGGCGUAAAGGGUGCGUAGGCGGCGCGGUAAGUCGGGUGUGAAAUCUCGGAGCUUAACUCCGAAACUGCAUUCGAUACUGCCGUGCUUGAGGACUGGAGAGGAGACUGGAAUUUACGGUGUAGCGGUGAAAUGCGUAGAUAUCAGGAGGAACACCGGUGGCGAAGGCGGGUUCUCUGGGCCUUACCUGACGCUGGAGGAGCGAAAGCAUGGGGAGCAAACAGG